rnacentral:rRNA from 1 species
UACGUAGGGUGCAAGCGUUAAUCAGAAUUACUGGGCGUAAAGCGUGCGCAGGCGGUUUUGUAAGACAGAGGUGAAAUCCCCGGGCUCAACCUGGGAACUGCCUUUGUGACUGCAAGGCUUGAGUGCGGCAGAGGGGGAUGGAAUUCCGCGUGUAGCAGUGAAAUGCGUAGAUAUGCGGAGGAACACCGAUGGCGAAGGCAAUCCCCUGGGCCUGCACUGACGCUCAUGCACGAAAGCGUGGGGAGCAAACAGG